ACUCCUACGGGAGGCAGCAGUGGGAAUAUUGCACAAUGGGCGCAAGCCUGAUGCAGCGACGCCGCGUGGGGACGACGGCCUUCGGGUUGUAAACCUCUUUCACCAUCGACGAAGGUUCGGGUUUUCCCGGAUUGACGGUAGGUGGAGAAGAAGCACCGGCCAACUACGUGCCAGCAGCCGCGGUAAUACGUAGGGUGCGAGCGUUGUCCGGAAUUACUGGGCGUAAAGAGCUCGUAGGUGGUUUGUCGCGUUGUUCGUGAAAACUCACGGCUUAACUGUGAGCGUGCGGGCGAUACGGGCAGACUAGAGUACUGCAGGGAGACUGGAAUUCCUGGUGUAGCGGUGGAAUGCGCAGAUAUCAGGAGGAACACCGGUGGCGAAGGCGGGUCUCUGGGCAGUAACUGACGCUGAGGAGCGAAAGCGUGGGGGAGCGAACAGGAUUAGAUACCCUGUAGGCUCUG
rnacentral:rRNA from 1 species